rnacentral:lncRNA from 1 species
CAUGAAUGCUGUAAAUGUUGUGCAACUGUUCAUUCUGGUUUGGACCUUUACUGCUGUCUGUCAAGCUGAUGAUGGUUUCGUCAGUGCAAGCUGUGAUGAUGUGACUGGAUCUGUGGAGAAAGAAGUAACUCUCACCUGUAGCAUCUCUCAGCAGUACACUGAUUGCUGCAUUGUGAUGUAUAUGUUUCAAUACCCUGGGAUAAAUGACACCUUAAUCUGUGCACAAGAGCUUCCUUACAACCCCUGUGAUCAGAGUAACAGCUUCUCAUGCCGCUACACUCCAACUACAGCAAGGAAGGAAAAUAUAGUAUUCUUUGUGCAAACAAUGUGUGGAAUGAAAAGAACAGAAUUCACUGUUAACACAACAGGGCUCAUUAAACCUGAAAUUGUCACUGAAGCUCCUGCUCCUGGCAAGAAAGAUUUCAUUGUAAGCUGUGAGAAUGUGACUGGUUCUGUGGGGAAAGAAGUAACUCUCACCUGCAGCAUCUCUCUGCAGCGCACUGAAUGCUGCGUUACAAAGUAUAAGUUUCAAUACCCUGAGAGCUUUAAUGACUCCGCAGUCUGUCAUCAAGUUUUUCCUGUGAACAGAGGAACAGCUUCACAUGCCGCUACACUCCAACUACAGCAAUGACAGAACAAUUCAGAUUCUUUGUGCAAACAAACUGUGGAAUGAAAAGAACUAAUUUCACUGUGAACAUAACAGGUACGGUAUAUGUUGUUUGUAAUUCUGUACAUUUAUGUUUAAUCUUUUUACAGUGGUUUAAAAUCUGUUAACAGGGCCCAUUAAACCUGAAAUUGUCACUGAAGCAGAAGAAAGUCUGACUUUUGAGGGAUGUCUUCAGUAAUGCUUUUGCACUUGCUAAAUAAUAAUAUAGCUAAAAAAUUAAAAUGAUUUU